GAUGAACGCUGGCGGCGUGCUUAACACAUGCAAGUCGAACGGAAAGGCCGAAGCUUGCUUCGGUACUCGAGUGGCGAACGGGUGAGUAACACGUGGGUGAUCUGCCCUGUACUUCGGGAUAAGCUUGGGAAACUGGGUCUAAUACCGGAUAUGACGAUCUCUUGGAUGGGGUUGUGGAAAGCUUUUGCGGUAUGGGAUGAGCUCGCGGCCUAUCAGCUUGUUGGUGGGGUAAUGGCCUACCAAGGCGUCGACGGGUAGCCGGCCUGAGAGGGUGUACGGCCACAUUGGGACUGAGAUACGGCCCAGACUCCUACGGGAGGCAGCAGGGGGGAAUAUUGCACAAUGGGCGCAAGCCUGAUGCAGCGACGCCGCGUGGGGGAUGACGGCCUUCGGGUUGUAAACUCCUGUCGCAAUCGACGAAGCCUUUUGGUGACGGUAGGUUGAGAAGAAGCACCGGCUAACUACGUG
rnacentral:rRNA from 1 species